rnacentral:tRNA from 1 species
CGUGGCAGAGCUCGGUAAAUGCAAAAGGCUUAAGCCCUUUAUCCAGAGGUUCAAAUCCUCUCCCUAGCCCCAAACACAACCA